rnacentral:rRNA from 1 species
CAGUCGCCGCGGUAAUACGGAGGAUCCAAGCGUUAUCCGGAAUCAUUGGGUUUAAAGGGUCCGUAGGCGGUCUUGUAAGUCAGUGGUGAAAGCCCAUCGCUCAACGGUGGAACGGCCAUUGAUACUGCAGGACUUGAAUUAUUGGGAAGUAACUAGAAUAUGUAGUGUAGCGGUGAAAUGCUUAGAGAUUACAUGGAAUACCAAUUGCGAAGGCAGGUUACUACCAAUUGAUUGACGCUGAUGGACGAAAGCGUGGGUAGCGAACAGGAUUAGAUACCCGCGUAGUCCCUGUCUCUUAUAU